ACGCUCGACACCUACGGAGGCAGCAGUCGGGAAUAUUGCGCAAUGGAGGAAACUCUGACGCAGUGACGCCGCGUAUAGGAAGAAGGUUUUCGGAUUGUAAACUAUUGUCGUUAGGGAAGAGAAAGGACAGUACCUAAGGAGGAAGCUCCGGCUAACUACGUCGCCANCGCGCCGGAGUAUNGNGGCGGNGNGAGAG
rnacentral:rRNA from 1 species